rnacentral:rRNA from 1 species
GUGUCAGCAGCCGCGGUAAUACGAAGGGGGCUAGCGUUGUUCGGAAUUACUGGGCGUAAAGGGCGCGUAGGCGGCCUGUUUAGUCAGAAGUGAAAGCCCCGGGCUCAACCUGGGAAUAGCUUUUGAUACUGGCAGGCUUGAGUUCCGGAGAGGAUGGUGGAAUUCCCAGUGUAGAGGUGAAAUUCGUAGAUAUUGGGAAGAACACCGGUGGCGAAGGCGGCCAUCUGGACGGACACUGACGCUGAGGCGCGAAAGCGUGGGGAGCAAACAGGAUUAGAUACCCUGGUAGUCC